rnacentral:rRNA from 1 species
UCUAAUACCGGAUAGGAGCGUCCACCGCAUGGUGAGUGUUGGAAAGAUUUAUCGGUUUUGGAUGGACUCGCGGCCUAUCAGCUUGUUGGUGAGGUAAUGGCUCACCAAGGCGACGACGGGUAGCCGGCCUGAGAGGGUGACCGGCCACACUGGGAGUGAGACACGGCCCAGACUCCUACGGGAGGCAGCAGUGGGGAAUAUUGCACAAUGGGCGCAAGCCUGAUGCAGCGACGCCGCGUGAGGGAUGACGGCCUUCGGGUUGUAAACCUCUUUCAGUAGGGAAGAAGCGAAAGUGACGGUACCUGCAGAAGAAGCACCGGCUAACUACGUGCCAGCAGCCGCGGUAAUACGUAGGGUGCGAGCGUUAUCCGGAAUUAUUGGGGGUAAAGAGCUCGUAGGCGGUUUGUGGAGUCUGUCGUGAAAGUCCGGGGCUUAACCCCGGAUGUGCGGUGGGUACGGCCAGACUAGAGUGCAGUAGGGGAGACUGGAAUUCCUGGUGUAGCGGUGGAAUGCGCAGAUAUCAGGAGGAACACCGAUGGCGAAGGCAGGUCUCUGGGCUGUAACUGACGCUGAGGAGCGAAAGCAUGGGGAGCGAACAGGAUUAGAUACCCUGGUAGUCCAUGCCGUAAACGUUGGGCACUAGGUGUGGGGACCAUUCCACGGUUCCGCGCCGCAGCUAACG